UAGGGAAUCUUCGGCAAUGGGGGGAACCCUGACCGAGCAACGCCGCGUGAGUGAAGAAGGUUUUCGGAUCGUAAAGCUCUGUUGUUAAGGAAGAACGAGUGUGAGAAUGGAAAGUUCAUGCUGUGACGGUACUUAACCAGAAAGGGACGGCUAACUACGUGCCAGCAGCCGCGGUAAUACGUAGGUCCCGAGCGUUGUCCGGAUUUAUUGGGCGUAAAGCGAGCGCAGGCGGUUAGAAAAGUCUGAAGUGAAAGGCAGUGGCUCAACCAUUGUAGGCUUUGGAAACUGUUUAACUUGAGUGCAGAAGGGGAGAGUGGAAUUCCAUGUGUAGCGAUGAAAUGCGUAGAUAUAAGGAGGAACACCGGUGGCGAAAGCGGCUCUCUGGUCUGUAACUGACGCUGAGGAUCGAAAGCGUGGGGAGCAAACAGG
rnacentral:rRNA from 1 species